rnacentral:rRNA from 1 species
GAGAGCGGCGGACGGGUGAGUAAUGCCUAGGAAUCUGCCUGGUAGUGGGGGAUAACGUUCGGAAACGGACGCUAAUACCGCAUACGCCCUACGGGGGAAAGAUUUAUCGGGGUAUGAUGAGCCCGCGUUGGAUUAGCUAGUUGGUGGGGUAAAGGCCUACCAAGGCGACGAUCCAUAGCUGGUCUGAGAGGAUGAUCAGCCACAUUGGGACUGAGACACGGCCCAAACUCCUACGGGAGGCAGCAGUGGGGAAUAUUGGACAAUGGGCGCAAGCCUGAUCCAGCCAUGCCGCGUGAGUGAUGAAGGCCUUAGGGUUGUAAAGCUCUUUCACCGGAGAAGAUAAUGACGGUAUCCGGAGAAGAAGCCCCGGCUAACUUCGUGCCAGCAGCCGCGGUAAUACGAAGGGGGCUAGCGUUGUUCGGAAUUACUGGGCGUAAAGCGCACGUAGGCGGAUAUUUAAGUCAGGGGUGAAAUCCCAGAGCUCAACUCUGGAACUGC